CACCUCAUUACCUCUAAGACAAGCAGACGGCAAAUCUAAAAAAUCAACUCCUAUCAAUGCAUGUUUAAUGUGCUGAUUAUUAAUCGCAUGAACACCUGUGUCCUGUUGUUAAUUUAUUGAUUGCCAAUGUACUUCACAUCAAAUCCAGUGUAACCAGAAUACUGAAACUAUCCAUUACUUGUUGUAUGUUUACUGUGUGUCUACUGCUUGUGCCUUAUUGUGUGUUUAUUAUUUAUUGUCUAUUAUAUAUCUGUAUGUUGUCCAUAAUGUAAGGAUAUCUGGCCAAUAUCUGAUACUUAUGGAAAACCGGGCCCCCUAUCAAAAGCUUUAAAUAGCUUGCUUGGGGUGAC